UUCCAAAGUGUUGAGUUCAGUUCAGUGAGCUUCCCCGAUCUGAUCAUUAAACAUUGGAAUAUUAAAACUGGCUGGGGAAAAUGAUUGGAUAGAAAUUAUUCUUCUGUUCACAUAUUUCCAACCUCUAAUU